rnacentral:rRNA from 1 species
UACGUAGGGUGCAAGCGUUAAUCGGAAUUACUGGGCGUAAAGCGUGCGCAGGCGGUGAUGUAAGACAGUUGUGAAAUCCCCGGGCUCAACCUGGGAACUGCAUCUGUGACUGCAUCGCUGGAGUGCGGCAGAGGGGGAUGGAAUUCCGCGUGUAGCAGUGAAAUGCGUAGAUAUGCGGAGGAACACCGAUGGCGAAGGCAAUCCCCGUGGGCCUGCACUGACGCUCAUGCACGAAAAGCGUGGGGGAGCAAACAG